rnacentral:lncRNA from 1 species
UGCUUUAGUUGGGGACAGGAUCUUUAUUUAGAUGUUUGUUGUUUAAUUGAUUCUGUCUUAAUUUGUUUUAUUUUUGUUUUUAUCUUAUGCACACAUUUGCUGAUUAUCCUACUUGGACUUUUCAGAUACAGCUUCCUGUUGGCUCAGGGUUUGGUCCUACUACUUUGCUUGUCUCAGACGUCUUCUUAAUUCUAUUAAAGUGGAUUCUUGAUGCCGGGGAUUUAGCUCAGCUGUUCCAGUGCCUGCCUCACAAGUGCAAGGUCCUGAGUUCGAUCCCCAGUACCAAAAACAAAAAAAGGUUUUGUUGUCAGAGUUAUUCUGGGCUUAUAACAUUUGAAAAGCAUUCCUAGUACCACUUUGAAGAUUCCUCUCUUGUUGACCUACUGUGCAAAUUAAACCAAGAUGGCACAUCACAUUAAUGAGAAUUUGCCUCUAAUAAGGUAAUUGCUACUUCUACUUUGUCAUUGCCUCAUUAAUUUUGAUUCUGACAUCUGUUUCAUGAGUACAUAAUUCAUUGUACAAUAGAAGAUGAUUCAUACUUUCAAAUUUGUAAGUUAUUUUAGUGAU